AUGGUAGAAAUAUGCAUCAAAAGUCAAAGACAAUCAAAUGGUAGAAAUAUGCAUCAAAAGUCAAAGACAAUCAAAUGGUUGAAGGUGGCAAAGCUGAUGCGUAAGAGGGCAUUGAAAGUGGCAAAGCUGAUGCAUAAGUCGGAAAAUUUCAAUCAAUUGCAGUGUGUGGAAGCAUCUUUGAGAACCCUUUUAAGUGAAGGUUCUAAUAUAUCUAAUGCCCUGGAUGCAUAUGUUUGA